rfam:Gracilibacillus kekensis strain CGMCC 1.10681 genome assembly, contig: Ga0079828_106
GGGGCAUUAGCUCAGCUGGGAGAGCAUCGUGCUGGCAGCGCGAGGGUCAGCGGUUCGAGCCCGCUAUGCUCCA